rnacentral:rRNA from 1 species
CAGUCUCCGCGGGAAAACGUAGGGUGCGAGCGUUAAUCGGAAUUACUGGGCGUAAAGCGUGCGCAGGCGGUUAUAUAAGACAGAUGUGAAAUCCCCGGGCUCAACCUGGGACCUGCAUUUGUGACUGUAUAGCUAGAGUACGGUAGAGGGGGAUGGAAUUCCGCGUGUAGCGGUGAAAUGCGUAGAUAUCAAGAGGAACACCGGUGGCGAAGGCGGCUUCCUGGAAGAUACCUGACUCUGAAACACGAAAGCCAGGGGAGCGAAUGGGAUUAGAUACCCCAGUAGUCCCUGUCUCUUAUAC